GGAGUCUGGGCCGUAUCUCAGUCCCAAUGUGGCCGGUCGGUCUCUCAACCCGGCUACCCGUCGUCGGCACGGCCGGCCUCUACCCGGCCGUCUACCUGAUGGGCCGCGACCCCAUCCCGCGCCGCCUGAGCUUUCCCGCCGCCCCAUGCGGGGGCCGCGGAGCAUCCGGUAUUAAUCCCCCUUUCGGGGGGCUAUCCCGGGGCCCGGGGCAGGUUGGUCACGUGUUACUCACCCGUUCGCCACUCUAUCCGCGCCCGAAGGCGCCUUAACCGUUCGACUUGCAUGUGUUAGGCACGCCGCCAGCGUUCAUC
rnacentral:rRNA from 1 species